rnacentral:rRNA from 2 species
UUAAGUCCCGCAACGAGCGCAACCCUUGAUCUUAGUUGCCAGCAUUCAGUUGGGCACUCUAAGGUGACUGCCGGUGACAAACCGGAGGAAGGUGGGGAUGACGUCAAAUCAUCAUGCCCCUUAUGACCUGGGCUACACACGUGCUACAAUGGAUGGUACAAAGGGCUGCAAGACCGCGAGGUCAAGCCAAUCCCAUAAAACCAUUCUCAGUUCGGAUUGUAGGCUGCAACUCGCCUACAUGAAGCUGGAAUCGCUAGUAAUCGCGGAUCAGCAUGCCGCGGUGAAUACGUUCCCGGGCCUUGUACACACCGCCCGUCACACCACGAGAUUUGUAACACCCGAAGUCGGUGGAGUAACCGUAAGGAGCUAGCCGCCUAAGGU